rnacentral:tRNA from 1 species
GCGGGGGUAGCAAAGCGGUCAAAUGCGACAGACUCAAGAUCUGUUACCUUAGUGGUUUCGCAGGUUCGAAUCCUGUCCCCCGCA